AUGACGAUGAUUAUAAUGAUGAUGAAGAUGAAGAUGAUGAUGAUGAUGAUGAUGAUGAUGAUGAUGAUGAUGAUGAUGAUGAUAAUAAUAAUAAUCAUAAUAAUAAUAGUAAUAAUAAUAACACUCACGUUCCAUUGCAGAACUUAUAAUAUCUAAGACCUCUUUGUGUUGGAUUCGCUCCCACAAAUGCUUAAAAAGACCGGGCACAUCGGUACCCGAGAAAACCUAAAUAUCAAUAAUAAUAAUAAUAACAAUAAUAAUAAUAAUAAUAAUAAUAAUAAUAAUAAUAAUAAUAAUAAUAAUAAUAAUAAAUUUUUUGACAUGGGCCAUAUAGACUAUACAGAAUUUAUGUAUUUAACUAGUGUUAAAACUCUUCUCUAACUUCGUUAAAUACUUUCAAAGUCCUCCAAGAGUGGACUUGGUUGCUUUUCGAGAAUGGGCAUACAUCUUGUCCUUUCUUCGAACAUAUUUAAGAAACACCUAUUUAAAAGGAAUAAUUUGGUCCUGCAACUAUAAUGGAACCUCGAUUGUGAAAACAUAGGAACGAGCAUGCUCUCGUAAACUCCCUUUUAAUAAUAUGUUUUUGAAAUAAGUUUUGAAAUCAACAAAUAUAUUAGCUUCUCUCUAUAUCUCUAAUCUUUAUUCGAGUAUCGUAUCUUCUAACGGAGACUUUAUAAGCAGCAAAAUCACUAUGCUAAUCGUGAGACUCACCGUAUGCAUCGAAGCUAAAGCUCCGUAUAUUCUGUUAAUUUCUUCAUUAAGGGUUUUAACAUUGGUAAGUGAUAUUUAUUGCUAAUAAAAAAAAAGAAAAAAAAAUGAAAAAAUGAUCAUUUGUUUUUACCGAAACACGCAUUUUUAUUUGGUUUUCUUGUUUCUCUUUGUUUUCUUUUUUUUUCUUUUUUUCUUUUUUUUUGUUCUUCGUCUUUUUCUUCGUAUUUUUUUGUUUAGAUUAAUUCGAAUAUAUAAUCGAGGUUCUACUGUACAUAAAAUAUAAACCUUUACAUAUAUAUAUAUAUAUUAAUGGGAUUCACUACUGUAUCAUUGAAGUAUCUUAAAUAAUGUAUUUUCAGGUAAACCAUAACCUCAGAAAGACGGAUCAACAUCUACGAUUCAUAUUGAUAAACUACAAUGGGUCCUUUUUUUAAUGGUUUUUUCUUUUUUUUUUUACAUGACAUCCAUAUUUUAUUUUUCCUAUACCUAGGGCAGAACUCGUAUAUACAUACAUUCCCAAAUCUCAAAUCGGAGCAUUAUGAGAGCGAUCGGAAGAAUCAUCAGCACGUAUUACUCGUUUGACUUGAUCAGUUCAAACACAUAAAUAUAUACGGGAAUGUCGAAACGGCGUAUGAUAUUAUACAUAAUAUCUAAAUAGUUACGAAACAAGUGAAACAAAGUUAACCAUUAUUGUGGUAAUGUAGCGAAUAAUAGACAACAAGAACAAAGUACGCAUCUAACUCGAACUAUUCGCAAAACUAUGCAAUCACUAGGAGCACGUAAAAGUAAAGGGUUUCUCGUCCAACACAUUCACGACAAUAGCUACUUACAAAUAUAUCGCUGAUAUUACAUAAUCAAUAAUGCGGUAACUUUACAAGUUCUUCUAUCCACUUUACGUCGACGAACUAUUUUCGCUACGUUCGCGGUAACGAUAGAAAGCAUCCUCCCACGUCUGUUCUUUUAAAAAGAUCGAUAUCGC